rnacentral:rRNA from 1 species
UCCGUAGGCGGGCAAUUAAGUCAGAGGUGAAAUCCCACAGCUCAACUGUGGAACUGCCUUUGAUACUGGUUGUCUUGAGUUAUAGUGAAGUAGAUAGAAUAUGUAGUGUAGCGGUGAAAUGCAUAGAUAUUACAUAGAAUACCGAUUGCGAAGGCAGUCUACUAACUGUAUACUGACGCUAAUGGACGAAAGCGUGGAGAGCGAACAGGAUUAGAUACCCUGGUAGUC